GGUCGUGGCUCAGUGGUAGAGCGCUUGCAUAACACAUGUGAGGCACUGGGUUCGAUCCUCAGCACCA
rnacentral:tRNA from 1 species